GCUUGAAGGUGCCCUCAUCAGACUCCAUAACGAUAUCAAAGUUGGAGAUAUUUUCCUGAAAAUGUGAGAAAAGAAGCACUCACAGAGAUGACCAUUCAGUAUUGAAGUUCCCUGGGAUGACAGACAAGAAAAAGCAGACAGCUCUGAACAUGGCAGCAGGCUAAGUAAGGAAGCUGAUGAGUAUUUCUGCAACUUUCAACAAAAGCUGCAGGGAGUUUUGAUAGAAGGAAGCCAACUUUCUUACAAUUGAACAUCCCAAUGGACCAAGGACCUAUGGAUGGGUCAAUCU